UGGGGCUCAACCCCAGGGGUGCGUCGGAUACUGUGAGGCCAGACGGUCGGAGGGGGUAGCGGAAUUUCCGGAGUAGCGGUGAAAUGCGCAGAUACCGGAAGGAACGCCAAUAGCGAAGGCAGCUACCUGGACGACUUGUGACGCUGAGGCGCGAAAGCGUGGGGAGCAAACCGGAUUAGAUACCCGGGUAGUCCACGCCCUAAACCAUGAGUGCUGGGUGUCCGGCUUCUGCUGAGUGCCGUAGCUAACGCGCUAAGCACUCCGCCUGGGAAGUACGCACGCAAGUGUGAAACUCAAAGGAAUUGACGGGGGCCCGCACAAGCGGUGGAGCAUGUGGUUUAAUUCGAAGCGACGCGAAGAACCUUACCAGGCCUUGACAUGCCCGGAACCCCUCUGAAAGGAGGGGGUGCCCGCAAGGGAGCCGGGACACAGGUGCUGCAUGGCCGUCGUCAGCUCGUGUCGUGAGAUGUUGGGUUAAGUCCCGCAACGAGCGCAACCCCUAUCCCUAGUUGCCAGCAGUUCGGCUGGGCACUCUAUGGAGACUGCCUGCGAAAGCAGGAGGAAGGCGGGGAUGACGUCUGGUCCGCAUGGCCCUUACGGCCUGGGCGACACACGUGCUACAAUGCCAAGGACAGAGCGCUGCUACCUCGCGAGAGGACGCCAAUCGCAAAAACCUUGGCUCAGUUCGGAUUGGAGUCUGCAACUCGACUCCAUGAAGCC
rnacentral:rRNA from 1 species